rnacentral:rRNA from 1 species
AGAGUUUGAUCCUGGCUCAGGACGAACGCUGGCGGCGUGCUUAACACAUGCAAGUCGAACGAUGAAGCUGUGCUUGCACAGUGGAUUAGUGGCGAACGGGUGAGUAACACGUGAGUAACCUGCCCUCCACUUUGGGAUAACUCCGAGAAAUCGGGGCUAAUACUGGAUAUGACUAUGGCCCGCAUGGGUUGUGGUGGAAAGUUUUUCGGUGGGGGAUGGGCUCGCGGCCUAUCAGUUUGUUGGUGAGGUAGUGGCUCACCAAGGCGAUGACGGGUAGCCGGCCUGAGAGGGCGACCGGCCACACUGGGACUGAGACACGGCCCAGACUCCUACGGGAGGCAGCAGUGGGGAAUAUUGCACAAUGGGGGAAACCCUGAUGCAGCGACGCCGCGUGGGGGAUGACGGCCUUCGGGUUGUAAACCUCUUUCAGUAGGGAAGAAGCCUUUGGGUGACGGUACCUGCAGAAGAAGUACCGGCUAACUACGUGCCAGCAGCCGCGGUAAUACGUAGGGUACAAGCGUUGUCCGGAAUUAUUGGGCGUAAAGAGCUCGUAGGUGGUUUGUCGCGUCUGCUGUGGAAUCGUGCCGCUUAACGGUGCGCGUGCAGUGGGUACGGGCAGACUGGAGUGCAGUAGGGGAGUCUGGAAUUCCUGGUGUAGCGGUGAAAUGCGCAGAUAUCAGGAGGAACACCGGUGGCGAAGGCGGGUCUCUGGGCAGUAACUGACGCUGAGGAGCGAAAGCAUGGGGAGCGAACAGGAUUAGAUACCCUGGUAGUCCAUGCCGUAAACGGUGGGCGCUAGGUGU